rfam:Gossypium raimondii Chr03_contig_6, whole genome shotgun sequence.
UGGUAAAACUUUUAUUCAUAUGUACUAUUAAAAACUAGUGUAAUUGACGGAAUAAAAAAAACACGUGCUGAGCCACAUAUACCUUAAGUUGGCAUAUAAGAAUAAAUUUUUAACAGUAGAAUUUGAUGAAAUUUUUAAUA